rnacentral:tRNA from 1 species
GGCGAGGUUCCCGAGCGGUCAAAGGGGGCAGACUGUAAAUCUGUUGGCUGAAGCCUUCGGAGGUUCGAAUCCUCCCCUCGCCACCA